UAGGAGGGCGACCUCUCCAGACUGCCCAG
rnacentral:piRNA from 1 species